AGAAUAAUUCUUCCAGAAUAAUCACAUUGUAUCUGGGCAUGUUCUCCAGCCUCGCCUGGAGAUGGACCUGGUAAAUGGGUUGUAAGCAGAAAUGCUGACUGCCCCUUGCAGCUCUAGAACUUGACAUUAGUAGCCCUGUUUUAUUUACAUCUGGAGGUCUGUGUAGCCCUAGGGAAUGCGACUCCUUUCCUGACCCCUAAGGUCAAGCAGCAGACCCUGAGAGCUAAGGGUACUCUUGAUGUGGGUAGCAAUAACCAUGGGCAAGUUUCCUUCUAUUUCACAGGAAAACAGUAAGUCUUUUGCUAGGGCCUCUUCCUUCCUUCCUUCCUUCCUUCCCUUCUAGAACCAAGAGCCCGAGCAGAAGCAAAUAAACAACAAACAGAGCAAUAACUCCUCAGCUUGUAGCAAAAGUCUUGGGUUCUCCUUGUUAACUUGUUGAGGUGAGGUAGGGGUGAGGAAGAGUGGGGAAAAGCAGCUGCAGAACCAAAUCAAGCUGGGAGCUUGGAAUCAUGGGAGCCACUGGAGAGCUUGGCAGAACCCCACUGUUUGUUGGAUGGAUCCUGGAAACACCCACUGAAUUGGCUACUUCUUCCUUCCCUGCAAACAAUAUCGAGAAACGUAGAAGGCCCUCCUUCACCCCUGGUCAGGAGAUGGAGAACCCGGCUGUGUCUAACAGCUUGUGUCCAAAGAUCUCUGUCCCCUUGUCAGCAUCCUCCAGACUCCAG